UACGUAGGGCGCAAGCGUUGUCCGGAAUUAUUGGGCGUAAAGGGCUCGUAGGCGGUCCAUCGCGUCGGGAGUGAAAAGCUGGGGCUUAACCCCAGUCCUGCUUCCGAUACGGGUGGACUAGAGGUAGGUAGGGGAGAACGGAAUUCCUGGUGUAGCGGUGAAAUGCGCAGAUAUCAGGAGGAACACCGGUGGCGAAGGCGGUUCUCUGGGCCUUACCUGACGCUGAGGAGCGAAAGCAUGGGGAGCAAACAGG
rnacentral:rRNA from 1 species